UACGGAGGAUCCGAGCGUUAUCCGGAUUUAUUGGGUUUAAAGGGAGCGUAGAUGGAUGUUUAAGUCAGUUGUGAAAGUUUGCGGCUCAACCGUAAAAUUGCAGUUGAUACUGGAUAUCUUGAGUGCAGUUGAGGCAGGCGGAAUUCGUGGUGUAGCGGUGAAAUGCUUAGAUAUCACGAAGAACUCCGAUUGCGAAGGCAGCCUGCUAAGCUGCAACUGACAUUGAGGCUCGAAAGUGUGGGUAUCAAACAGGAUUAGAUACCCUGGUAGUCCACACGGUAAACGAUGAAUACUCGCUGUUUGCGAUAUACAGCAAGCGGCCAAGCGAAAGCGUUAAGUAUUCCACCUGGGGAGUACGCCGGCAACGGUGAA
rnacentral:rRNA from 1 species